rnacentral:rRNA from 1 species
UACGAAGGGGGCUAGCGUUGCUCGGAAUGACUGGGCGUAAAGCGCACGUAGGCGGAUCUUUAAGUCAGAGGUGAAAUCCCAAGGCUCAACCUUGGAACUGCCUUUGAUACUGGGGAUCUUGAGUCCGGGAGAGGUGAGUGGAACUGCGAGUGUAGAGGUGAAAUUCGUAGAUAUUCGCAAGAACACCAGUGGCGAAGGCGGCUCACUGGCCCGGUACUGACGCUGAGGUGCGAAAGCGUGGGGAGCAAACAGG